UACGUAGGGGGCAAGCGUUGUCCGGAUUUACUGGGCGUAAAGGGAGCGUAGGUGGAUAUUUAAGUGGGAUGUGAAAUACUCGGGCUUAACCUGGGUGCUGCAUUCCAAACUGGAUAUCUAGAGUGCAGGAGAGGAAAGUAGAAUUCCUAGUGUAGCGGUGAAAUGCGUAGAGAUUAGGAAGAAUACCAGUGGCGAAGGCGACUUUCUGGACUGUAACUGACACUGAGGCUCGAAAGCGUGGGGAGCAAACAGG
rnacentral:rRNA from 1 species